rnacentral:rRNA from 1 species
AGAAGAUGGUAAGGGCAAACGGUGGAUGCCUUGGCACAAGAAGCCGAUGAAGGACGUGAUAAGCUGCGAUAAGCCACGGUAAGGAGCACAUAUCCUGUGACCCGUGGAUUUCCGAAUGGGUAAACCCACCAAGAGUCAUUUCUUGGUACUUCCUGCUGAAUAUAUAGGCAGGAUAGAGGUAACCGGGGGAACUGAAACAUCUAAGUACCCCGAGGAAGAGAAAUCAAACGAGAUUCCCCUAGUAGUGGCGAGCGAACGGGGAUAUAGGACAAACCGUCAGUUGCGCAAGCGCUGGCGGGGUUGUAGGACCAUUCAUUGUGGAGUUACAAAACUUCGUGGAAGCAGAAUAGCUUGGAAAAGCUGGCGAGACAGGGUAAAAGCCCCGUACGCGAAUCUGCGAAGACUCCCGAGUGGCACCUGAGUACUGCCGGACACGUGAAACCCGGUGGGAACCUGGGGGGUCCACCCUCCAAUCCUAAAUACUCUCUUGUGACCGAUAGUGAACCAGUACCGUGAGGGAAAGGUGAAAAGCACCCCUAGCGGGGAGUGAAAUAGUACCUGAAACCGUUUGCCUACAAGCAGUCGGAGCAGACUUUUGUCUGUGACGGCGUGCCUUUUGUAGAAUGAGCCAGCGAGUUACGGCAUGUGGCAAGGUUAAGCUAAAAAGCGAGCCGCAGCGAAAGCGAGUCUGAAUAGGGCGAGUGAGUCGCAUACCGUAGACGCGAAGCCAGGUGAGCUAUCCAUGAGCAGGCUGAAGCGGGGGUAAGACCCCGUGGAGGGCCGAACCCACUUAGGUUGAAAACUGAGGGGAUGACUUGUGGAUAGGAGUGAAAGGCCUAUCAAACCUGGAGAUAUCUCGUUCUCUCCGAAAUAGCUUUAGGGCUAGCCUCGGAUGUUUACCAAUGGGGGUAGAGCACUGAAUAGUUGCGGGGGCUUCACCGCCUACCAAGAUUAAUCAAACUCCGAAUACCAUUGGUCUAGAAUCCGGGAGUCAGAAUAUGUGGGCUAAGCUGUGUAUUCGAAAGGGAAACAGCCCAGACCGCCCGCUAAGGUCCCAAAAUCAAUGCUAAGUGGCAAAGGAUGUGCGUUUGCUCAGACAACCAGGAUGUUGGCUUAGAAGCAGCCAUUCAUUUAAAGAGUGCGUAAUAGCUCACUGGUCGAGUGGACAUGCGCCGACAAUAUACGGGGCUAAGCAUUGUACCGAAGCGGCGGAUCAGUACUUUGUACUGGUGGUAGGAGAGCUUUCUGUACGGGUUGAAGCAGUUGGAUAACCAACUGUGGACUGUCCAGAAGUGAGAAUGCUGGCAUGAGUAACGAGAGACAUGUAAAAAACAUGUCCGCCGUAAACCCAAGGUUUCCUGGGCAAGGCUAAUCCUCCCAGGGUUAGGCGGGAGCUAAGGCAAGGCCGGAAGGCGUAGUCGAUGCACAACAGGUAGAAAUUCCUGUCCCUCCAAAAGAGCGUUAUCACCAAUGGGGUGACGGAGAAGGGUAGCUAGGCGGGGUUCUGGACGUCCCCGUGAUGGCACGUAGGCUGAGAAGUAGUGAAAUGCGCUUCUCGUGAUGGCUGAGGUGUCGGACGAAGCAAUUGAGUGAAGCUAGUAAGCCCAUACUUCCAAGAAAAACCUCUAGGGAGCUCUGAGGAGCCCGUACCGCAAACCGACACAGGUGGGUGGGUAGAGCAUACCAAGGCGAUCGGGAGAACUAUGGUUAAGGAACUCGGCAAAAUUGCCCCGUAACUUCGGGAGAAGGGGUGCCGGUUUCGGUGAAGGGAUUUACUCCCCGAGCUAAGAUCGGUCACAGUAAAUAGGUCCAAGCGACUGUUUAUCAAAAACACAGGACUCUGCUGAAGUCGUAAGACGACGUAUAGGGUCUGACGCCUGCCCGGUGCCGGAAGGUCACGAGGAGUUGUUAGCAUUAGCGAAGCAGCGAAUCUAAGCCCCGGUAAACGGCGGCCGUAACUAUAACGGUCCUAAGGUAGCGAAAUUCCUUGUCGGGU